UAACUAUGCUUACGGCUACAACAAAUCGUUAGACCGUCUCUCCGAAAAGGUUGUAUGUUCCAGCGAUGUGUGCGAGAGAUGUACCACAGACCACAGUGCAAGAUUUUUUCAACGAUCGUAGCAUUGAUGAAGGGAACCCUAAUUUGAUUCAAUUUUAUGUAUUUGUUAAUGUAGAUUUCAUUUAUAGAUGCCAGAUGACUUUUUAUUAAUGAAUUGAUUUGUUUCAAAAAAAAAGAACUUUUAUUAUUUUGUUUCGUUUUUUUUUUUUGUUUUUUAAUUAUUGUCUUUAAUAUUGUUGAUUUGUUGUACAAUUCAUUAGUUUAAUAGUUUGGGAGUUGGGACGACUCUAUCAAGACCCACCCAUUUUAUUAAUUGGACGGAUUUGACCCAUUUUUAACUAGGUUGGGUUAGGGCUUUUAAUUGGGCUUUAAGGCCUUCAACCCAUUGAAAUGUUCUCAUUGUUAAUAACAUAUAAUUAAAAAAAAAAAAAAUACUCCUCACUCUCUCUCUCAGUUCGUUCUCCAUUGAAGCGCACUUGACGUUCUCCAUUGAAAUACCUGUAUUCCCCAUUGAAGCAGCUUCUGAGGUGAUCGAUUUUGAAGUGAUAAAAGGAGAUGGUUAGGGCUCACUAUCAUUACAAGAAAUUUUCUUCAGUCUGGGGUGUUGUUACUAGAAUGUACACAUCUGAUGCAGCCGUCAAAGAUUUAUCUGAUUCCGCAUUUAAAAAAAUAUGUAGAAUCAUGAUGUCAUCUCCUAAAGUAGGACUGGAUGUCAGGCUUGAUCAUAGCGGAGUUGAGGCUUCACCAGAGAUGGUUGAGGAUGUUUUGAAGAGAUUUGGAAAUGCAGGUAUGAUAUCAUAUUGUUUUUUUGAAUGGGCAGGAAAGCAACAUUAUUACACACAUACUGUUGAAGCUUAUCACAUUAUGAUUGGGUCUUUGGCUAAAAUAAGGCAGUUUGAGAUUAUGUGGGAUCUUGUGAACACUAUGAGGAACAAGGGGGUGCUAAGCGUUGAGACGUUUUGCAUCAUCAUGAGAAAGUAUGCAAGGAUGCAGAAGGUGGAUGAGGCACUCUAUACAUUCAAUGUUAUGGAAAAAUAUGGUAUUACCUCAAACUUAGCUGCAUUUAAUGGGCUUCUAAGUGCUUUAUGCAAGUCUAAGAAUGUAAGGAAGGCCCAAGAGAUCUUUGAUAAAAUGCAUGAACAAUUUGUUCCUGACUCAAAAACUUAUAGCAUACUGCUUUCUGGUUGGGGAAGGGAACCAAAUCUCCCCAAGACAAGGGAGACUUUCAGACAAAUGAUUAAUGUAGGUUGCAAUCCUGAUAUUGUGACUUAUGGUAUAAUGGUUGACGUCCUUUGUAAAUCAGGGAGAACUGAUGAAGCUGUAGAAACUCUUAGGAGCAUGGAUGCUAAUGGUUGUAAGCCAACAUCUUUUCUUUACAGUAUUUUAAUUCAUACUUAUGGUAUAGAGAAUCGAAUUGAAGACGCCAUAGAUACAUUUAUGGAUAUGGCCGAAAAUGGUGUGGAGACUGAUGUGGGAGUGUACAAUGCCCUAAUUAGUGCAUUUUGUAAAGUAGAUAAAUUGAAUAAUGUAUUUCGGGUCUUAAAAGAGAUGGAUGGUAAAGAGGUUGUACCUAAUGCUAGGACUUGCAAUAUAAUAUUAAACAGUUUGAUUGGGCAGGGGAAGACUGAUGAGGCUUUUAAGGUGUUUAGAAAGAUGAUUAAGGUGUGUGAGCCUGAUACAGACACAUAUACAAUGAUGAUAAAGAUGUUUUUUGAGAGAGAUCAGUUGGAGCAGGCUCUGAAGGUGUGGAAGUACAUGAUGUCAAAAAGGUUUGUUCCAAGCAUGCAUACCUAUUCAGUUCUUAUUAAUGGGUUGUGUGAAAAGGGCCAGGUCAGUGAUGCAUGUGUAUAUAUGGAAGAGAUGAUUGAAAAGGGGAUUCAACCUCCAGUUUUGACCUUUCGCAAGCUGAGGCAGUUGCUUAUUAAAGAACGGAGGCAAGAUGUCCUGAAGUUUCUUCAGGAGAAGAUGAAUCUUUUAGUCAAGGAACCUUUGUGUGAUUGAGAGGCUAUGAAGACCGUGUUUACAAAGUAAUAUAUAGACUGAGUCAGAAGCAAUGAAUCACCCUUGCUCGAUUGUCCUUUGGAAUUUCAGGUUGGUCAAGUUGAUUGGCGAAUGGGUUGUUUUAUAGUUUAAAAAAAUUCUUUGAGAUCAUUAAGAUCUACCUUCACAUUUGUGCUUUACCAGGGACAUUGAUGCUCUGUAACACCAUUACAGAUUAUUUACAGUCUGGUAAUUCAUUGUUUGUAAAAUUUUAAUCAUUGGUUAGCUGUUGAUGAGAUUGUAAACAGUGCGAUGAUACCUUGUAUGGUCACUACACUAGUAGAAAAAAUGUCAUUUGCAGCAGCAAAUCUUUAUAUAGAACGCUGCAAAAUAAUAUAAGUCAACGUGGGUCAAAAAAAUUUAUUAGCAACGUUUUUAAUUGUAGGCGCUGCAAAUAAUUUUGGAAAUAAAAAAAUACAAGUAACCAGCUAGCCAUUUUUCUCCUACUCCGUACUUCAUUUUUUUCAUCAGAUAGAUAAAAACGAGAAACCUCUUCAUUUUCUUCACCAUCUCCUUCAUUUUCUUCGGCGUCCAACCAUCCACCUUCUCUGUCAACCUCCUCCUCACCGUCAACCUCUUCCUCCUGUACCAAUUUUAGAAGAUCCGGGGUCUUUUCUCUCCUCUUUCUCUUAAUACGUGGCCAUCCACCCUCCUCCAAGACGAGAUCAUACUGGUUCUCCAUUGAAGCGGCUUUUGAGCUUUCUUUGAAGAUGACUCGUUGCUCUCCUCUCAUUCCCUAUGAUUAUCAAAUGCCCUAAUUUGAAGGAGAUUUCUUUGAAUUUUUUCUCAUCAAGAUAAUGAUACCAUGAUGGACAACUUGGGAAAAUUCUGCCCAAGGUUGCAGAACUUUCAUGUUACAUUGCCUAGAUUAUCUCAUGCUACUGUUCUUGCUCUCUCAGCAGCAAGUUUGAGGGACUGAGAAUGCUCUCAUUAGUGUUGGGCUCUGGCAUCAGUGAUGCUUCUGUUGUUGCUAUUGCUUACAGCUUUUCAAAGCUAGAGCUGCUUGACUUGAGUGGGUAAUGCCUCAUCUUCAUAUUUCAUUGCUUAGCCAAAUUUGUCAGCAAUCAGCAAGAUUAGGCUUUGUUUCUAGUUUACUUAGUUUACCUCAGGAAUCUUAGAUUGUUAUUUUGUUGAUGUAGGUCUAGCAUCACUGAUAGUGGCAUUAGAAUGAUAUGUAACGUGUUAUCCCGAACUUAAUCAAUAUUAUUGCUAGCGCUUUGCCCUAAUAUCACUUCAAGUAAAUUUCUAUUC